AACUAUAACGGUCCUAAGGUAGCGAAAUUCCUUGUCGGGUAAGUUCCGACCCGCACGAAUGGUGUAGCAACAGAGCCGCUGUCUCAACGAGUGAGUCGGCGAAAUUGUAGUAUCGGUGAAGAUGCCGGUUACCUGCAUCAAGACGAAAAGACCCCGGAACCUUUACUGUACUCUGGUACUGGAUUUUGAUCCUGUAUGUGUAGCAUAGGUGGGACGCUUUGAAGUCUGGGCGCUAGCCUGGAUGGAGCGGAAAUGUGAAAUACCACCCUUAUAGUAUUAGGGUUCUAACCUGCGGCCCUGAAUCGGGCUGAGGGACAAUGCCAGACGGGCAGUUUGACUGGGGCGGUUACCUCCUAAAUUGUAACGGAGGUGUACAAAGGUUCCCUCAGUGCGGACGGCAAUCGCACGCUGAGCGCAAAAGCAGAUGGGAGCUUAACUGUGAGGCCAACAAGCCGAGCAGGUACGAAAGUAGGUUUUAGUGAUCCGGUGGUUGGCGUGUGGAAGCGCCAUCGCUCAACGGAUAAAAGGUACUCCGGGGAUAACAGGCUGAUCUCCUCCAAGAGUUCACAUCGACGAGGAGGUUUGGCACCUCGAUGUCGGCUCAUCACAUCCUGGGGCUGGAGAAGGUCCCANNNNNNNNNNNNNNNNNNNNNNNNNNNNNNNNGCGAGCUGGGUUCAGAACGUCGUGAGACAGUAAAAUGACCGUUGCUGUCUUUAAAUCUGGCUAUUUGCUGGAAAAUCCGGUGAAUUACAUGCUACUUGACAAUUUGAGAAAAUAGAGAUAUAUCAUCUCUAUGAUGUCAAGUGAUAAAGCACGGUAUGCGGAUAAUCAGCAGGUAAGCAGGAAAACAGAAGAAGAUUUACUAAUUUCCUGAAACCUCAGAGACUAUACGCCAGAUCUCGCUAAAUGCGGGAAAGAUAUAGUCCGAACUGCAUAGCGAUAUGCAGAGAUUGGCAGAAAUGUCCAACCCCUUCAUGGUACACGAAGAGUAACAGUAUGUCGGUCUCUAUCUGAUGCAGGCGCAGGAUAUUUGUGGGGGGCUGUCCCUAGUACGAGAGGACCGGGACAGACGAACCUACGGUGUUCCAGUUGUCACGCCAGUGGCAAUGGCUGGGUAGCCGCGUUCGGAAAGGAUAAACGCUGAAUGCAUCUAAGCGUGAAGCCCUCCCCGAGAAUGGAUAUCCCUGAAGACGCCUUGUAGACUACAAGGUUGAUAGGCAGCAAGUGCACGAGCCGCAAGGCUUUUAGCUGAGCUGUACUAAUCCGUCGUUUGGCUUGACCAUUUUU
rnacentral:rRNA from 1 species